rnacentral:rRNA from 1 species
CGUAACUACCCGUGCCAGCAGCCGCGGUAAUACGGAGGGUGCGAGCGUUAAUCGGAAUUACUGGGCGUAAAGCGCAUGCAGGCGGCCUGUUAAGUCAGAUGUGAAAGACCCGGGGCGUUAACCUCGGAAUUGCAUUUGAAACUAGGCAGGCUAGAGUCUUGUAGAGGGGGGUAGGAAGUUUACUAGGUGUAGCGGUGAAAUAGCGUAGAGAUCUGAAGGAAUACCAGUGGCGAAGGCGGCCCCCCUCGGACAAAGACUGACGCUCAGAUGCGAAAGCGUGGGGAGCAAACAGGAUUAGAUACCCUGGUAG